rnacentral:lncRNA from 1 species
GAUUAAAAAAAAAGAGUGAAAGCAACUUAUCCCGAGUAUCAUCGGGUAGAAGGAUGGGAAGAUCUUAGCCACCGUCUGGUUUCUUCGACUCUCCCGAUCGAUCGAGAGAAGAGCGGCUUGGAUGAGCCACUUAGCCAAUAUUGGAUUGGCUAGAGCUGACUCAUCUUCAGACACUCUAAGGUCGAAGUGGUGCCCCUCCGACGCUACAUCGCCCACCGAAGUCAUCGGAGCCUUUCCCCGAUCUUCCAUCGGUGGCCCCACAUUCGAAAGUGAGGGGAAGCUUGAACUCGACUACGUCAGAGAAACUCCUGCUAAAGAAACAACCGAUGCGGCUGCAGAUUGCUCAAGUUCGGCCACAGCCUCCACCUUAGCCUGAACCUCCUCGGUUGGUGGAGCUACCGAUGUUGCUGCGGCAGCUCCUUCUCUCGUAGCUCCUUCUUUAGAUGGUGCAGUGGGAAGCACUGUCGAGGCUGACGGUGCCAAGAUUGGCUCAGAAAUCGAUGCAGAUGGCAUAUCAGGUUCCUCAACCGGCGUUGAAGCAGCA